rnacentral:lncRNA from 1 species
UUUGACAUACAUUGUAGGCUUUCCUACAAUACAGCCUCUAACAAAACUAGGCUGUCCCGAACCAAAACUAGGCUGUCCCGAACCCCUGGUAAUAGAAUUGUUUAUCUUUAUACCAAGAAGUUUGGGAAAGCACCAAAAUCUGCAUGUGGCAUGUGCCCAGGCAGACUUCAAGUGGUUCCUGCUGUAAGACCUAAAGUUCUUAUGAGAUUGUCCAAAACAAAGGAACAUGUCAGCAGGGCCUGUGGUGGUUCCAUGUGUGCUAAAUGUGUUCGUGACAGGAUCAAGCAUGCUUUCCUUACUGAGGAGCAGAAAAUCGUUGUGAAAGUGUUGAAGGCACAAGCACAAAGUCAGAAAACGAAA